CGCCUCGACGAGCUUGCUUCUGUGUACGAUUAUGUGCAGCCACUGAUGGAGUUCGUGGCCUCCCUUCCUCAAGAUGAGAAGGUGGUGUUGGUGGGUCAUAGCUAUGGAGGCCUCGCUAUUUCUCUGGCUAUGGAGAGCUUCCCUGAGAAGAUCCUGGUUGGGGUCUUCGUAUCAGCUUAUAUGCCAAAUUAUAUAUCCCCACCUGUAACUCUCGCAGAAGAAGUGAGCACAAUCAAUCUUUGAUCAAACCCUAAUCUGCUCAACAUACACAUCAUUGAAAUUCUAUUUUUUAUACUGAUUUUGUGCUAUAUAUGAUUUUGGACAAACCAGUUCUUCAUCAAUAGAAGCAAGCCUGAGUCACUACUGGAUACCCAGCUUUCGUUUGGCCAAGGACUGGAGAGCCCUCCAACAGCACUGACCUUUGGUCCAGAUCACUUAUCAGUGGCACUUUAUCAAAACUGCCAACCGGAGGUGAGUGUUUAAUUUAAUCGAAUUUGCUUGAACUAAAUGGAUGGAAAAUGAUGUCAUGUAAGUUGUUUGAUUCCAACCAUUUGGAACAGAGGUGUGUAAUGGGGUUUGUUGUGUUGCAGGAUUUGGAACUGGCCAAAAGUUUGAUAAGGCCUCACGGGUUGUUCCUGGAAGACUACGCCAAGGAAUCUUUACUAAGCAAAGAGAAGUUUGGAUCCGUGGAUCGGGUGUAUGUGGUGUUGGAAGAAGAUGAAAUAAUGAAGGACUUCCAGCAAUGGGUGAUCGACAACAGCCCACCAAAAGAAGUGAAGUUCAUUGCCGGAGCUGAUCAUAUGGGGAUGAUGUCCAAGCCCAAAGAGCUCUGCCUCUGUUUCCAGGAGAUAGUUCAGCAGUAUAAUUGAAUUUGCAGUCCUCCUUCAAUAAACAACUGCAAUAAGAAGAGUAGUAACCUACUAGAUCGUUGCAAUAUCCCAGUAGUUCAAACAUUUUCGUGCAUUUUCUCAGAUCUGGGUUUGCUUUUUCAUGAUGAAUCUAAAUUGAUUUUCUCAUCAGUAAUUAGUAGAUGAUAAUCAGCAGACUCAGUGAUCACCAUGUGUCCUCUUUGCCAAAAAUAGAAGCUAAAUUAAUUUUCUCAUCAAUAAUUAGUAGCUGAUAACCAGCAGACUCAGUGGUCAUCAUUUCUUUUAAAGGAUAACUUGGUAGACAAUAAAUUUAUUGACAUUAAAAUUCGUUCUACACUUGGCAACAGAGCAAAUCAAAUAUUUAAGGCCUUUCCUUCUAUGACAUGGUAAUGGGCCAAUGGCAAAAAGAAGAGAAAAAAAUUAAAAUUUUCACAUUGAUGAAUCUCAUUGUGAACUCCUCCAGUAAGAAUAUGAAAACGCAAGGGAUUAAGGGCCCCAAAACGGUGCAUUUAUGGCCCGGCCCACAUGAAGCUACGCUAUCCCACAUAAUAGGGAUCAAAUCAUGAAUUAUUGAUGGAUCAAAGUUUCACAAUGAAAAUUUCAGCUUUGUUGAUAUAUGCAAUGCAAUACACAUUGGAACAAAGUCAAAAUAAUUAAAUAUUCAUGAACAACGCAACAAGACAAUAGUGAGAGCAAAUGAGCAUCGACAAUCAAAAGGUAUCUACAGUAAUACAGAGAAUCUGAAAGGAAGGACGUCACUGUCUUUGAAAAGGCUGUAUACCAAACAUUAUAUAUGGCACUUAUAAAGUCAUAACGCCCAUGAUAAUAUAUAUAUGCACGCCUGUGACGAACGACAUGAUUAGUAUUUGGAAACAAAGGCUACGUUUCUGGCCGGCGCCGUCAUCUCACUGUGCCUUUAUUGCCAUUGUGGUCUUUUUCAUUUAUGGUAUAAGAUUCGCCCUCGCCCCACGCGAUCCAAAGCAUCAAGAUAUGGACAGAGGGAAACACUUCGUUCUAGUUCAUGGAGCUGGCCAUGGAGCUUGGUGCUGGUACAAGCUUGUCCCACUGCUCAAAUCCUUUGGUCACAGCGUCACCGCGCUGGACUUGGGCUCUUCUGGGGUCAACCCCAAGAGCCUAGACGAGCUUGCUUCUGCAUACGAUUAUGUGCAACCGCUGAUGGAGUUCGUGGCCUCCCUUCCUCAAGAUGAGAAGGUGGUUUUGGUGGGUCAUAGCUAUGGCGGCCUCCCUAUUUCUCUGGCUAUGGAGAGCUUCCCUCAGAAGAUCCUAGUUGCGGUCUUCGUAUCAGCUUAUAUGCCAAAUUAUAUAUGCCCACCUAUAACUCAAGCACAAGAAGUGAGCACAAUAAAUCUUUGAUCAAACUCUAAUCUGCUAUACAUACAUAUCAUUGAAAUUCUAUUUGUUGCACUGAUUUUGUGCAAAAUGUGAUUCUGGACAAACCAGUUCCUCAUCAAUAGAAUCAAGCCAGAGUCGUUAUUGGAUUCCCAGCUUUCGUUUGGUCUAGGACUGGAAAGCCUUACAACAGCAGUGACGUUUGGUCCAGAUUACUUAUCAGUGGCACUUUAUCAACACUGCCAACCGGAGGUGAGUGUUUAAUUUAAUCGAAUUUGCUUGAACUAAAUGGAUGGAAAAUGCUGUUAUAUAAGUUGUUUGAUUCCGACCAUUUGGAGCAAAGUGUGAAAUGGGAUUUGUUGUGUUGCAGGAUCUGGAACUGGCCAAAAGUUUGGUAAGGCCUCAUGGGUUGUUCCUGGAAGACUUCGCCAAGGAAUCUUUACUAAGCAAAGAGAAAUUUGGAUCCGUAGAUCGGGUGUAUGUGGUGUUGGAAAAAGAUGAAGUAAUGAAGGAGGAUUUCCAGCGAUGGGUGAUUGACGACAGCCCACCAAAAGAAGUGAAGUUCAUUGCCGGAGCUGACCAUAUGGUGAUGAUAUCGAGGCCCAAAGAACUCUGUCUCUGUUUCCAGGAGAUAGUUCAGCAGUAUAAUUGAAAUUGCAGGCCUCCUUCAAUAAACAACAAUAAUUGUAAACUGAAAUAUAUAAGAAGAGUACAAACAUAUAUACUGGAUCCCUGCAAUCCCAUAGUAGGUUAAAUUUAGUGAAUUAAUUGUCUCAGAGCUGGGUUUGCUUUUCUCUCGAUGAAUCUAAAUUUUCUCAUCAGUAAUUAGUUGAUGAUAAUCAGCAGACUCACUGCUCAUCAUUUGUCAAAUUUGCCAACAAUAAAAAAGCAUGUGAGCAGCUUUGGGAUUGCAGGUACAAGCUUGGUGCUGGUACAAGCUUGUCCCACUGCUCAAAUCCUUUGGUCACCGCGUCAUCGCUCUGGACUUGGGCGCUUCCGGGGUUAACCCCAAGCGCCUCGACGAGCUUGCUUCUGUGUACGAUUAUGUGCAGCCACUGAUGGAGUUCGUGGCCUCCCUUCCUCAAGAUGAGAAGGUGGUGUUGGUGGGUCAUAGCUAUGGAGGCCUCGCUAUUUCUCUGGCUAUGGAGAGCUUCCCUGAGA
rnacentral:lncRNA from 1 species